rnacentral:rRNA from 1 species
GACGAACGCUGGCGGCGUGCUUAACACAUGCAAGUCGAACGGAAAGGCCCUGCUUGCGUGGGAUGCGCGAGUGGCGAACGGGUGUGUAACGCGUGAGUAAUCUGCUCUUCACUUUGGGAUAACUUCAGGAAACUGUGGCUAAUACCGGAUAGGAGCUCCUGCGGGAGGGGGGUGGUAGGAAAUUUUGGGCGUUUGGGGUUGGACUCCCGACUUAUCAGCUGGUUGGUGGGGUAGUGGCUUACCAAGGCUUGGACGGGUAGCCGGCCUGAGAGGGUGACCGGCCACAUUGGGCCUGGGAUACGGCCCAGACUCCUCCGGGGGGAAGCAGUGGGGAAUAUUGCACAAUGGGCGGAGGCCGGAUGCAGCAACGCGGCUGGCGGGAUGCCGGCCUUCGGGUUGUAACUCGCUUCCGUCUGUGACGAAGCGUGAGUGACGGUAAUGGGUUAAGAAGCACCGGCUAACUACGUG